UACGGAGGGGGCAAGCGUUGUUCGGAAUUACUGGGCGUAAAGGGCUCGUAGGCGGCCAACUAAGUCGGAUGUGAAAUCCCCAGGCUCAACUUGGGAACUGCAUCCGAUACUGGAUGGCUUGAAUCCGGGAGAGGGAUGCAGAAUUCCAGGUGUAGCGGUGAAAUGCGCAGAUAUCAGGAGGAACACCGGUGGCGAAGGCGGGUCUCUGGGCCGAUACUGACGCUGAGGAGCGAAAGCGUGGGGAGCGAACAGG
rnacentral:rRNA from 1 species